CCCCCCCCCCCCCAAAUCUAUGCACAUGGAGCAGCUGCAGCGCCAGGACUUGGGCUCAGACUCCAGAACGGCCAGCAGGUGUCGCCAUCGGCUCAUCGGCGCCACCAAGAACGCAGGCUGAUUCCACAGAGACGGGCUGAGCACAAAGGGCGGAGAUAGACGAGUCAUCCUUAACAUAAAGUAACAGAGCAUCUCAAUAAAAAUUAACAUUUCUUCUUGAACAGUAACUUGCCGGACACUGAAUAACUGCACAAAUUAACAAGCGUCACGCACGUAAACCUGUUUUUCCUGUUCUCCGAAAGCGAAGUAUUUCCUGUUGCGCACACGGAACACGUCCGUCCCAGACUAAUGACGCGGCCGGCGGCUGCUAGAAUAUUCGCUGGCAGCAUUCGUGGAGAGAAAUGGAGCGCCUGCCCAUAAGGCGCGUGAGGGAAAUGAAUGCAACACGAUGAUGGUCAUCGGUCAUUAGUGGACGUUGUAGUUCGUUAUUAAUAAUUAUGUGUAACAGGAUGUUGUAAAAUUUAAGUUAGGAAACUUUCAUUAAAACGUUCCUUACACACCGUUA